rnacentral:lncRNA from 1 species
ACUUCAAUCUUGGUUAAGCAGAUCAUGGGCCCACCUAAGGCAUAAAGAACAAAACUCACCAGUAUAAUGAUCAACAAAAGCACAAUGGAUUCAUUCUGUAGGCGGCCUGAUUUUGAAUCAAUCGGUUAUAUCACUUGAUGCUGAAAUAAAGCUACUGAAAGAGGCUCACUGGCCUGAAACUUUGGCCAGCCAAAAAGAAGUCCUAAUCUUAUAUGACCAGCAAACAACUUAGGGAUCUAAACUUUCAACAGCCAAAAAGAAGUCCUAAUCUUAUAUGACCAGCGAACAUCUUAGAUGUUGCCCCGCUCUAAGUUGUUCAGAGCACUUACAGUGAUAUAAUAAGGGACAACAUGGCUCUGGUUGUUCAUUGACUCAUGAUAGAUUCCUUCCAGAGGUAGUAACUCUCUGUUCAACCUUCCUCCACCGUUCUCUUCUUAGUGCAAGACUCAAAAAGUAGGUUAAUGGGAUGAGGUUCAUGUCAAGACUGGCCAAUUUCUCACCAGGUUCAUUUUCUUUAAUUUCGAAUGGGAAAUAUUCCAUGCAACGGAAUACAAAUGCUCCAAGUUUCCCAGUUGAAGAAUCAGUAAUUAUGUACCGAGGAGAGGACCAGACUUCGAUUUCCACAUGUCAUUCACAUAAUUGGAAUCACAUGAAUAGAAAAAGUGGGCCUUCUUAUAUGAAGAUGUCACUACGUAAUUAUUACACAAUUAAUACCAACUAAUUUUACCUUUCUCGACUUGUUUCUAGUCACAGCCAAAAGAUCCAGUCCACAUGGCAGUUUGACAUCAUAUUUAUAGGCUUGACUAUGAUGAUUCAAACAUUCAGAAAUAAGUAUCACUGCCAUAGUGAACAAAGCUUAAAACACUCUUGAAAUGCUCAUUACGGCUAAUACUGAGAAAAUUACAAAGUAAACAACUUUAAACCGGACAAAAUAGAGGUGGAUGUUAGUUGAUCAAUCCACAUUUCCUAAUAAGAUUGUCAAUUCAAUGUAAGUGUCGAUGCUACAAUGAACAAUGCGUAACACACUCUUGAAAUGCUCAUUAUGGCUAAUACUGAGAAAAUUAUAAAACUAACAACUUUAAACCAGACCCAAUGGAUGUGAAUAUACAUUUCCUAAUAAGAUUGUCAAUUCAAUGCAAUGAAACUUUUAUCAACUAACAUUUCUCAAUGAAAACCAGGUUGCAGUAUAUAACAUGACCAUAGUUUUUUUCCCGAUAGAACUACGUGAAUUUUGAAAUUACUCUUCAUUUCCUUUUACAAUAUAAAGCACAUUGUAUUAUAUGAUAUAAAGUGUAAACAUAAAAGAGAAGCAAACUGAAUGAGCGGUAAAGCUAAAGAAAAAGAAUUAAAGCUGCAGAACCAACAUACUUUAGCCCAGGUCGUCUCUUGCCUGCCCUCC